AUUGAACGCUGGCGGCAGGCCUAACACAUGCAAGUCGAGCGGAUGAAGGGAGCUUGCUCCUGGAUUCAGCGGCGGACGGGUGAGUAAUGCCUAGGAAUCUGCCUGGUAGUGGGGGAUAACGUCCGGACACGGGCGCUAAUACCGCAUACGUCCUGAGGGAGAAAGUGGGGGAUCUUCGGACCUCACGCUAUCAGAUGAGCCUAGGUCGGAUUAGCUAGUUGGGGGGGUAAAGGCCUACCAAGGCGACGAUCCGUAACUGGUCUGAGAGGAUGAUCAGUCACACUGGAACUGAGACACGGUCCAGACUCCUACGGAAGGCAGCAGUGGGGAAUAUUGGACAAUGGGCGAAAGCCUGAUCCAGCCAUGCCGCGUGUGUGAAGAAGGUCUUCGGAUUGUAAAGCACUUUAAGGUGGGAGGAAGGGCAGUAAGUUAAGACCUUGCUGUUUUGACGUUACCAACAGAAUAAGCACCGGCUAACUUCGU
rnacentral:rRNA from 1 species